AUUGAACGCUGGCGGCAUGCCUAACACAUGCAAGUCGAGCGCCCCGCAAGGGGAGCGGCAGACGGGUGAGUAACGCGUGGGAAUCUACCCAUCACUACGGAACAACUCCGGGAAACUAGAGCUAAUACCGUAUACGUCCUUCGGGAGAAAGAUUUAUCGGUGAUGGAUGAGCCCGCGUUGGAUUAGCUAGUUGGUGGGGUAAUGGCCUACCAAGGCGACGAUCCAUAGCUGGUCUGAGAGGAUGAUCAGCCACACUGGGACUGAGACACGGCCCAGACUCCUACGGGAGGCAGCAGUGGGGAAUAUUGGACAAUGGGCGAAAGCCUGAUCCAGCCAUGCCGCGUGAGUGAUGACGGCCCUAGGGUUGUAAAGCUCUUUCGCAGGUGAAGAUAAUGACGGUAACCUGAGAAGAAGCCCCGGCUAACUUCGUGCCAGCCGCCGCGGUAAUAC
rnacentral:rRNA from 1 species